rnacentral:rRNA from 1 species
GACGAACGCUGGCGGCGUGCCUAAUACAUGCAAGUAGAACGCAGUUGCGAACGGGUGAGUAAGGCGUAGGUGACCUGCCUCAUAGCGGGGGAGAACUAUUGGAAACGAUAGCUAAUACCCAAUACUGUGAGAUGGACCUGCGUUGUAUUAGCUAGUUGGUGAGGUAAAGGCUCACCAAGGCGACGAUACAUAGCCGACCUGAGAGGGUGAUAGAGCAAAAUGGGACUGUGACACGGGCCCGACUCCUAGGGGAGGCAGCAGUAGGGAAUGUUCGGAAAUGGAGGGAAGGCGUAUCCAGCAACGCCGGGAGAGUGAGGAAGGUUCUCGGAUCGGAAAGAUCUGUUCUUAGGGGAGCGGUAGCUAACGAGAAAGGGACGGCUAAAUCCGUGCCAGCAGCCGCGGUAAUUC